CGGGGUAUGGCCUAAUGGUAAGGCGCACGCUUCGGGUGCGUGAGAUUCCGAGUUCGACUCUCGGUACCCCGACCA
rnacentral:tRNA from 4 species